rnacentral:lncRNA from 1 species
GGUAUUUCAUAGUAAUUAUGUAUAUAUAUAUAUAUAUAGAAUUAGGCUGGAAUACUAUUAAUAGUAAAACGCUAUUUUUACUAUCAAAUUUUUAACCGUUGGAUGAAAAAUUGUAGGGUCAAGAUGAUAAUAGACAGUUAGAGUUGAGUAGUCCUCUAGGGUUGAGUGGUCCCCACUGGGUUAUGAUAUUUAAUUCAAUGGUUAGAAAUAAUAAAAAGAGUUGAUCCAAAGGCUAAAAAACUGGUAGCAACAAUGAGAUUUUGCUACUAAUAGUAGCCGAGUCCAACUCUCUCUCUCUCUCUCUCUCUCUCUCUAUAUAUAUAUGGAGUUAAACUCCUAUAAUAUCUAUAGUACACGGAGAGUUUGGUACUAUAGUCUUAUUUUCAAUUUUAGUAUAUUUAAAUCAAUGAUUAAUACUGUUAAAAUUAAUUUAGGACAUUUGAAGUUUUUAGAAAUAAAUUUUUUUCUUUUUUUUCAAUAUAACUUACUUUAUGAUCAAAAUUAUUUUAAAAUUAUCAAUUUUCACUAGCUAGCUACUAUAGCGAGUUUGUAAUUUAACGAUAUGAAAGAAUCUAAAUUUAUUUAAAUUUUGAUAUAAAAUAUUUUAAACUAUCUGGAUCAAGGUCAGUAUCUUUGUUCUUGAAUUCAAAAGUCAUAUCUUCAAAUUUUAAAAAUUGUUCAAUUUUUACCGUUCAUUUUGACAUAAUUUAUUUACCAAGUAAGCGAUAUCGAAAAGAAUUAAAAUUUUAUUCUUAAGAAUUUUAUAUAUUCUAGAUCAUAUUUAAUUAACGGUGUAUAUCAUUAAUUUAAACAUUCUAAAAUCGAAAAUAAGACUAUAGAACUGGAGCAAGUAUAGUAGCCUCGUUCAUAUAUGUGUGCGUGUGUGCGCACACUGAUACUAAUC